UGGUUCCUGAAUGGAGGAAAGCUACCUGUUGGCCUGCACUACUCUCCCUGGACUGUGCGAAGAGGGAUAGUGAACAGAGCAACCAGAGUGACAGAGGGCCGAGCGUUAAUGAGAAGAUGGAGACUGUAUUUCUUCUUUGGAUCCCACCUCCCUGUGUCUUUAAAGAGCUGCUGCUUCUGCAGUUAUGCUCGUCUCCUCUAACCUGGAACCCUGGACGCCGGGACACGACACGGCGACGCAGUGUGCUCGUUUCACUGCAGUGCAGGGGCGGCUAAAGGAGCGGAGGUGCCCAGGAAUCUCAUGUGGCGAAUCCCUGUCCUCUUCGUGUUG